rnacentral:rRNA from 1 species
CAGCCGCGGUAAUACGUAUGUCCCGAGCGUUAUCCGGAUUUAUUGGGCGUAAAGCGAGCGCAGACGGUUUAUUAAGUCUGAUGUGAAAGCCCGGAGCUCAACUCCGGAAUGGCAUUGGAAACUGGUUAACUUGAGUGCAGUAGAGGUAAGUGGAACUCCAUGUGUAGCGGUGGAAUGCGUAGAUAUAUGGAAGAACACCAGUGGCGAAGGCGGCUUACUGGACUGCAACUGACGUUGAGGCUCGAAAGUGUGGGUAGCAAACAGGAUUAGAUACCCUGGUAGUCCACACCGUAAACGAUGAACACUAGGUGUUAGGAGGUUUCCGCCUCUUAGUGCCGAAGCUAACGCAUUAAGUGUUCCNCCUGGGGAGUACNCCCGGAAGGUUG